rnacentral:rRNA from 1 species
CCUACGGGGGACAGCAGUGAGGAAUAUUGGUCAAUGGCCGGAAGGCUGAACCAGCCAUGCCGCGUGAAGGUCAGUGCCCUAUGGGCGUUAAACUUCUUUUGUGCGGGAGCAAUAAUGGUCACGUGUGGCCAGACGAGAGUACCGUACGAAUAAGCAUCGGCUUACCCCGUGCCCGCAGCCGCGGUAAUGCGGGGGAGGCAAGCGUUAUCCGGAUUUAUUGGGUUUAAAGGGGGCGUAGGCUGUGAGGUUAGUCAGCGGGGAAAUGCCCCCGCUCAACGGGGGGAAGUGCCAUUGAUACUGGCUUGCUGGAGUACGGAUGCGGUGGGAGGAAUGUGUGGUGUAGCGGUGAAAUGCAUAGAUAUCACGCAGAACACCGAUUGCGAAGGCAUCUCACGAAUCCGCGAUUGACGCUGAUGCACGAAAGCGUGGGUAUCAAACAGGAUUAGAUACCCUAGUAGUC